CAAGAUUGGAGAGUGAAUUGUGAUGCCCAGCUUCGUAUUCUGGUCUUGUAGCAUUAGUGGAAGAAAAGGACAAUCAAAUCCAGAAGGUAUCUGCUACUUGAUUUUUUCAUGUGUAUUCAUCCCAACAUCUUUGUACAUCAAGAAACAUAGUAACCAUAGUGAACUAACUGCACAUGUUGCAUACGUCAUUUAGCAUGACGACUUCAAUGACAUGAUGUAAAAUUUCACUUGUUUGUUGCAGAUAGAGAAAGAAAUUAAGGAACUAAAGUUAUGGCGUGAUUUCGUAGGCGGAGUUCCUCAUGGACAUCGUCAGCAACGAAGAGAUGGCGCUCAUCGACACCGCUAGGAGAAGAAACUUAUAAGUG
rnacentral:lncRNA from 1 species